UACGGAGGGUGCGAGCGUUGUCCGGAAUCAUUGGGCGUAAAGGGCGCGUAGGUGGCCCGGUCAGCGUGCGGUGAAAGCUCGGGGCUCAACCCCGAGUCGGCCGUGCGAACUGCUGGGCUCGAGCACUGUAGAGGCAGGCGGAAUUCCGGGUGUAGCGGUGGAAUGCGUAGAGAUCCGGAAGAACACCGGUGGCGAAGGCGGCCUGCUGGGCAGUGGCUGACACUGAGGCGCGAAAGCGUGGGGAGCAAACAGG
rnacentral:rRNA from 1 species